UUAAGCGACUAAGCGUACACGGUGGAUGCCCUGGCAGUCAGAGGCGAUGAAGGACGUGCUAAUCUGCGAUAAGCGUCGGUAAGGUGAUAUGAACCGUUAUAACCGGCGAUUUCCGAAUGGGGAAACCCAGUGUGUUUCGACACACUAUCAUUAACUGAAUCCAUAGGUUAAUGAGGCGAACCGGGGGAACUGAAACAUCUAAGUACCCCGAGGAAAAGAAAUCAACCGAGAUUCCCCCAGUAGCGGCGAGCGAACGGGGAGGAGCCCAGAGCCUGAAUCAGUGUGUGUGUUAGUGGAAGCGUCUGGAAAGGCGCGCGAUACAGGGUGACAGCCCCGUACACAAAAAUGCACAUGCUGUGAGCUCGAUGAGUAGGGCGGGACACGUGGUAUCCUGUCUGAAUAUGGGGGGACCAUCCUCCAAGGCUAAAUACUCCUGACUGACCGAUAGUGAACCAGUACCGUGAGGGAAAGGCGAAAAGAACCCCGGCGAGGGGAGUGAAAAAGAACCUGAAACCGUGUACGUACAAGCAGUGGGAGCCUCUUUUAUGGGGUGACUGCGUACCUUUUGUAUAAUGGGUCAGCGACUUAUAUUCUGUAGCAAGGUUAACCGAAUAGGGGAGCCGAAGGGAAACCGAGUCUUAACUGGGCGUUAAGUUGCAGGGUAUAGACCCGAAACCCGGUGAUCUAGCCAUGGGCAGGUUGAAGGUUGGGUAACACUAACUGGAGGACCGAACCGACUAAUGUUGAAAAAUUAGCGGAUGACUUGUGGCUGGGGGUGAAAGGCCAAUCAAACCGGGAGAUAGCUGGUUCUCCCCGAAAGCUAUUUAGGUAGCGCCUCGUGAAUUCAUCUCCGGGGGUAGAGCACUGUUUCGGCAAGGGGGUCAUCCCGACUUACCAACCCGAUGCAAACUGCGAAUACCGGAGAAUGUUAUCACGGGAGACACACGGCGGGUGCUAACGUCCGUCGUGAAGAGGGAAACAACCCAGACCGCCAGCUAAGGUCCCAAAGUCAUGGUUAAGUGGGAAACGAUGUGGGAAGGCCCAGACAGCCAGGAUGUUGGCUUAGAAGCAGCCAUCAUUUAAAGAAAGCGUAAUAGCUCACUGGUCGAGUCGGCCUGCGCGGAAGAUGUAACGGGGCUAAACCAUGCACCGAAGCUGCGGCAGCGACGCUUAUGCGUUGUUGGGUAGGGGAGCGUUCUGUAAGCCUGCGAAGGUGUGCUGUGAGGCAUGCUGGAGGUAUCAGAAGUGCGAAUGCUGACAUAAGUAACGAUAAAGCGGGUGAAAAGCCCGCUCGCCGGAAGACCAAGGGUUCCUGUCCAACGUUAAUCGGGGCAGGGUGAGUCGACCCCUAAGGCGAGGCCGAAAGGCGUAGUCGAUGGGAAACAGGUUAAUAUUCCUGUACUUGGUGUUACUGCGAAGGGGGGACGGAGAAGGCUAUGUUG
rnacentral:rRNA from 1 species